UACAGAGGUCUCAAGCGUUGUUCGGAUUCAUUGGGCGUAAAGGGUGCGUAGGUGGUGGGGUAAGUCGGAUGUGAAAUCCCGGGGCUCAACCCCGGAACUGCAUUCGAAACUGCCUUGCUCGAGUACUGGAGAGGAGACUGGAAUCUACGGUGUAGCAGUGAAAUGCGUAGAUAUCGUAAGGAAGACCAGUGGCGAAGGCGAGUCUCUGGACAGUUACUGACACUGAGGCACGAAGGCCAGGGGAGCAAACGGG
rnacentral:rRNA from 1 species